CUUAGCAGAGAUGCUUUGGUGCCUUCGGGAACUCUGAGACAGGUGCUGCAUGGCUGUCGUCAGCUCGUGUUGUGAAAUGUUGGGUUAAGUCCCGCAACGAGCGCAACCCUUAUCCUUUGUUGCCAGCGGCUCGGCCGGGAAACUCAAAGGAGACUGCCGGUGAUAAACCGGAGGAAGGUGGGGAUGACGUCAAGUCAUCAUGGCCCUUACGGCCAGGGCUACACACGUGCUACAAUGGCGCAUACAAAGAGAAGCGACCUCGCGAGAGCAAGCGGACCUCAUAAAGUGCGUCGUAGUCCGGAUUGGAGUCUGCAACUCGACUCCAUGAAGUCGGAAUCGCUAGUAAUCGUAGAUCAGAAUGCUACGGUGAAUACGUUCCCGGGCCUUGUACACACCGCCCGUCACACCAUGGGAGUGGGUUGCAAAAGAAGUAGGUAGCUUAACCUUCGGGAGGGCGCUUACCACUUUGUGAUUCAUGACUGGGGUGAAGUCGUAACAAGGUAAGCGUAGCGAG
rnacentral:rRNA from 1 species